UCUAACUUUAACCAGAUCUAACUUUAAUCUCUGCUUGCCAAUUCAACCAAACAGACUCCAUGGUGCGGCCUAACGGUGAAAGGCUGUGCAUGAGAAGGCUUUUCAUUUGGCAGCAUAUGUUUUUGUGAUUUAGAACUAUUUUUGGCUAACUACAUUCCAGGCAGAAUCUAACAAAGAAGAGGAAGAGCAGUUGAUCAUGGAGAUGGCAACAGUCAGACUUGCAGUUCAAGAGACCGGACAGAAAGCCUUCACAUAUUCAACAUAUGACAACAACAGUGAGCUGACUCCUGCUGGAAGUGAACAACACACUCUGCCCUCUUCAAAUGAGCAUCAGUCCAUGGACCCCCCAAACACUUUUGAAAGAGGACCGUCCAAGUCUUCUUACAGGCAAGAUGUUCUUAAUUAUCUCUGGAGACAUUUAAAGUGUUUACUAGUGAUAUAACCUGUAAGUAACACCGUUUGGCUACU